UACGAACUGUGCGAACGUUAUUCGGAAUCACUGGGCUUAAAGGGUGCGUAGGCGGUUAUUUAAGUAGGAUGUGAAAUCUCCCGGCUCAACCGGGGAACUGCGUUCUAAACUGGAUAACUUGAGUGAGAUAGAGGUGUGCGGAACUUCCGGUGGAGCGGUGAAAUGUGUUGAUAUCGGAGGGAACACCGUUGGCGAAAGCGGCACACUGGGUCUUAACUGACGCUGAGGCACGAAAGCCAGGGGAGCAAACGGG
rnacentral:misc_RNA from 1 species